CGAAAGCCUGACGGAGCAAGACCGCGUGAGGGAGGAAGGCUCUUGGGUUGUAAACCUCUUUUCUCAGGGAAGAAGCUCUGACGGUACCUGAGGAAUCAGCCUCGGCUAACUCCGUGCCAGCAGCCGCGGUAAUACGGAGGAGGCAAGCGUUAUCCGGAAUGAUUGGGCGUAAAGCGUCCGUAGGUGGUCUAUCAAGUCGGCGGUAAAAGACCGAAGCUUAACUUCGGAGUGGCCGUGGAAACUGAGAGACUAGAGAGCGACAGGGGCAGAGGGAAUUCCCAGUGUAGCGGUGAAAUGCGUAGAGAUUGGGAAGAACACCAGUGGCGAAAGCGCUCUGCUGGGUCGCAACUGACACUGAGGGACGAAAGCUAGGGGAGCG
rnacentral:rRNA from 1 species